UAAAUCCCGAAGGAUCAAACCUGCUCUAAGACCAAGUUGAAUAUCAGAGUGCGCAACGAACAAGAUUAACAAAAUAAUAAGAAUAUUAUUAAACAAACUGAGAAUGCCAAAACAGCUACAAAACCCUAAGAGACUACAUUGUGACUAACUUAUUCUCAAACUAAAUUACAAGCUCUAUUAUAUAUAGUGAAAACUAAAGCAAAAUCAUAAUCCUUAAAGGAUAUAGAAAACUCUAAUAAACCCUAAAUCCUAACCCUUAAAGGAUAUGGAAAAUUCUAAUAUCCUUGUCCCACAAAAAAACCAUAAACAAAAAAUAAACUAAUAACUAAUUUUCCCUCGAUGUUUUUCUGCAUGCUUCCUACAAAAAGAAGAAAGGGUUAAAGUGCUUUAGAUAAUGCCCAACUAAGUAAGUGCAAAAUGAUGUGCCUCAAAGCACAAGAACACCAACUUUGCCAAAAGUGGGAUUAGCCAGGAUCUUUACUUGCAAGUAAUGAGUAAAAAGGAUGAUCUCCUUUUCUUUUGGGGUGUGAUAUCUACACACCCCAUUUUACUUC
rnacentral:lncRNA from 1 species